ensembl:lncRNA
GUCCACAUGAUUAACACACGGUAUUCCAUGUCCCAGGUAAUCAUCUGAUUUAAAAAUUGGCCUUUGGUCACUGGGAGGAGCUGAAUAAGUGUAUAUAGAUGGCUAGGUGAAAAUCUAGUACACCUUUGGGGGAAAAAAUCCUCAAUAAAUAAUAAGUUAUUCAUUUGGUUAGAUAUCUUCAAAUACAAAAUAAUCCAUUGGCUUAAGUGCAUGCUUGCAUCAUGGGGUGCUUUACACGAUACUUCCAGCUGAGUCUGUGUUUGGGAACAAAGGAUGAGCUGAGAUAACUGACAAGCAAAGUGGCACUUGCCAAAUAAUCAAAAUGUAGAAAAUAUUAAGUGCAAAUAUCUGAGCCUACUUUCAAGGACUGAUAUUUAUCCUCCCUCCCUUCACUUCCCUUUCCCUCUCCCCACCCUUUCUGUUUAAUUGAAAUGCCAAUAGGAAUUUGACAGCGAUGAACACCCUAGUGGCCCCACACUGAAGUUUGCAGGUUGGGUGCAAUGUCUCCAUUUCUAGCUGUACAAGACUGAAAAAUUGUUAUAAUUAUCCUCCUUUGCAUAUGUUCAAGCACAGUAUAGUAUUCCAGGUUGCUGUGUCUAAAAACUGUGAAACUGAAAGUUAUGAUCUUUUCAGAAGACUCAGUGAAUGUUGGUUUAUACUCUCUAGUUCCUAGCUACUUGAAGCUUCCCUGUGAGCUGUAUCAGAAAGGACAGAUGUCUAAAACAGAAACAUUUGAAUUCUCUGAACAAUUGGAGUAAUUCCUUUAUGAGCUUUCUUUUUCUUUUUAAAAUUUGAAAAUAAUAUAUACUACCCUAUAUCACAUACUCUGGUUUUAUGUUAAAACAAGCAACCUGAUUUUUCAAUGCAUAUUAAAUAUAAAUAUUUGCAAAGGAAUAUUAUUGAUAGUGAUGAUGGGGCAGUCGCGGUGGUUUUGGAAAGUUUGUAUGUGAACAAUAGUCCUCUCCAUUUAUAUAUAUCACUUUCUGGUUUUAGGCUGCCACUGCUGUUUGUAGAGUCUAGCCUUGAUGGUAAGCAGAUGUCUCUACUCAUGUUUUUCCUUAGCCUUUGUUUCAGAUUUUGAGUGCCUUGAGUUGAGGGAGUAUUGGAUUUGUCUUUAUUCCCAAGCCUCUGUCACUCAAUAAAAGUAUGUGACCCAGAUGAAUAAAUAUGCAACCAAUCAGUGAUUCAUAAAUAGUCACCAAGGUGCGUAAUGUGAAGAAAAUAUGAUAGAAUUUUCAUCAAGUAAAAAAUGUAGAUUAUUAAAUAAUUUUUGUGGGAAUAGAAGUUUUGGAUUAUUUGUUAAAUGACUAUAGUAAAUGUCUUCAGUUCUGGUUUAAUGUGCUUGGAGGUACAUAAAUUCUUUCAGGCUACCAGGAUGCCCUUUUAGUUAAGAUAAAAUCUUAUUUUACUAAAUGGUACCCUAAUGACCUCUGGACAUUAGUGAAAACUGCCUAAUUUAUGCCUGUGGCUAACUCAUUUAUCAAAUGAAGUUUCACCCAGAAUACAGACAUAAAGAGAAGCGGGGUUUAGAUCACUCCAGGGGCAACUGAGCAUCUGUUCAGUGCCCCAGGAGGCAAGAUAUUGAAAAACAUAUCUGAGAAUGAAGAGAUGUAGAGCCCUAAUCCUGUCUCUGCCACCAAACAGCUGUGCAACCUCAGCUGAUCAAGCCUGUUUUCUAAUCUUGUAACUCACAGUGGAUCUCAAUCACUACCAGUUUAUCACAAAUAAAUAAAUAAAUAUUAUAUAUAUAGAGAGAGAGCACAGAUGGCAAGCCUGAGUCUUUUGAACAGAUUUUAAGACAUUAUUAUAAUGAAAGGAAGCACAAAACUCAGAACAUUUUGUGUUUGGGUUUUGUUGUUGUUUACUGUUUUUUCUGUUAUGGUGAGACCCAGGAGCUUGGUGGAUUUAUACCAUAUAAGAGGUUGAAAACAAAUGGAACUAGAUGAUUCCUACUACAUCUUCCACACUAAGGUUCUGUAAAUCUAGUUAAUUGCUGAAUGUUUGUAUGGAAGGAAACAAAGCUGGCCAUGAGCCAGAAUUUGUUCUAGUUAUCAAGAUAAAGCUCCCCCUCAAAAUAAUGAGCUUUUAAAGAGGCUAAAACUGUCUUUAUUCUUACAGUGAGCAGCUUGCUUAUAAUAAAGGAUAGCAGACUUCAAGUUAAGAGUGUACCAUUCCCUACAAAUUGAAUAUCCACACCAAAUGAAUCUGCCAUAGACCAUUAUAGUUGCAAAGAUUAGAAAUGAUUGUCAUAAUUUUUCCCUUAGAGUUUAACCACAUGAGACAAGAAUUUUUUUCAAAGUUAUCUGCUAUAUUUUAAAAAGACAACAGUUUUCUUAUUCUGUGUAAAAUGCAAAAUUUCUUUCUAAAAAAUUAAAUGAGACAAAAUUACUGUUUUCUUCAUCUCACUGACAAAGAGAGAACAAUACAGUAUGUUACAAUUAACAUAAACACACAACAUAUUUUCUUUUCUACUGCAGACUUAGAUCUCUGAUAGGAAACACUAUAUCUGGUUAAAGUUAUCAGGAAAGGAUCGAAAGUAUUUUGUAGCAUGACAUAAACAAAGGCACAAAAAGCAGAAGGGAAAAGAAAACUGUAGCUACCACAGCAAUAAUGAAACAGAAUGACAUUUUUACUAACCUUUCAAAAUUUCCCAGAUUCAGGAGUGACUCAAAAGCAGUGAGUUAUUUUACAUAGAUAAAAUCAGAAUCAGAACACUUUUAACAAUUCUAAAAGAGAGAGGAAUAAAAACCAAAUAAUCAUGAAAACUUGCAAUGAUGGAAAUAAUUAGAAAUAUGAAGGGGAAAAGAAGUAUUUGAAAGGCUAUGAAUUGAAAACAAAGAUAUAUACCAUUAUAUAUUAUCACAAAUCCACCUUUACCUCAAAGUAGACUAGCUUGGGUAAUAGAUUUAUCUAGCUCUAAUUUACAUGAAUUGGAUAAUGGAAGGACAAGAUUUCUAGAAGAAACUCAUUAAUCUAUUAGAGUUUUCAGGACUGAGAGCUGUUGAAAUAUAUAU